ensembl:lncRNA
CAGCAUUGGAACCUUACAAUUGCCUGGUUGGGCAUACCUGACAAAAUAAAGACGGACAACGGUCCUUGCUUCAUCUCUCAAAGCACGAGCCAAUGGGCGCAACAAUGGGGGAUAACACUGAUCAAAGGCCUACCCUACAAUUCCACGGGUCAAGCAAUAGUGGAGCGAGCUAAUCAGACCUUAAAACGGAGAAUCCGCACACUAGCGGAGGCGGAGGGCCAUAAAGCCGGAAUUCCCCCCGAGCGGCAGUCAGUGCUCUUGCAUCGUGCGCUGUAUGUCCUGAAUCACCAUGGGUGAGGAGACUGUGCAGAAGAGCCGGUCCGAAGGCAUUGGGCGUAUCUCCCACCGAAAACAGGAUCACCAGUGACAGUGCGGUUUCCAGGAGAAGGAGAGUGGGAGUCGGGGUGGGAAUUAAUAACGCAGGGGAGAGGGUAUGCGGCAGUUAAACAAGGGGAACAGGUACGCUGGAUACCAAUGAGGUGCGUAAAGCCCGACUUACGCGCUCCAGUGCGAUCGGACUGAGCGUAACCAAUAAUUCUCUGGUCGAGAACUUUCUUGCAGAUGCCGUUGUUGCUGCCGAUCAUCGCUGGUUUAGUCCCAGGGAUCGCCGGAGAUUCCUACUGGAGAAACUGGGCGCGAAUACACAAAGCCAAGCAUUACUGCAUUCCUUUGAACCCGGAGGCGGGCCCGGAAGAGUCCCAGGCCUGUCUCGUCUUCCAACCGCUGCGAAUUAGUAGAGAGAGCAUUUCCCAGAUGACGGUUCCCAACAUAACCAGCCUGGGGUCGAUGUYGCUGGCCGCCUUGGAAGUCAACAUCACGUGCGUAAUGAACAACAYGGCGGCAGGCUGCCCGUUCACUCCCAUGACUUCGGGCGUCAAUAAGACGGCUUGCUACCGAUGCACGCAGGAGGGGUCUGAAUGGGAAGUCCCCUUGGGUAACGUUCAGUUUGGGGYGGUGUGGGAGAAUGGCACCGACGCRUAUCAAACUCGGUCAUUUGGAGGCAGAGGUGGCUAUGGCAGGGACACAAGUAUACUAAAGGCUGGUCUCGUUAGUACCGGAGGCCUAACCUUACUCCUCCGAGCGUACAAAGCACCGCGCAGUAUCCCCAUAGAGGAUCGUAGAUAUUAUAGCCCAAUAACCCCCACGCUUCUCCUGACGGCUAACGAAACCGGUGAUAGCCUACUAAUGCUCCUGUGGGUCAACACGCGUGAUGCCACUUUGGAAGGAGCAAAUGCCACCCUAAAUAUCUCUAGAGAAAUCAAGGAGAAUUUCACGGUGGAAUGGGUCGAAAUUAAUGAUGGGGAGAUUUGCCUGCAACACCCAUUGGUACUGCUCUGCCGUAACAUGACCUUUAAGUGCCUGCAGGCGGAGGAGGAUUAUGGCCUUUGUGUGUGGGGCACACUCACCACAUUGGGGAUAUUCACGGGAAAACGGACCCGAAGGGAGGUAUUCUUAUCCCUCCCUGACCAUGGCCAGACAACGAGUAACUGUUCGGGAGCCAUGUUAAACUACCCGAAGUAUCAAGGGAUCACUGGAAUCCUAACGGCCGUAUUGAGCCCAGGGGUGGGAACCCUGAUAAAUGCAGAUGCAUUAGGUAAAUUAGCGUGCAACCUGGCGCAGACAAACGCUGUGGUCAAGCAAGUGGUGGAAUCCAUGGCGCAGAGCACGGAAACCACGGAACGCCUAUUACGAGCGCAUAGGCAGGCGAUUAACGUGAUAUUUGACAUCUUGAUACAGGGCGGAUGCUCCUCCACACAACUGGCAAAUCUGACGUUCUGCUGUCUGUCAGCAGAGGACUAUUCGAAGAUCAAUGAACGGAACGCCAUCAUCCGGACGGCAGCGGAUGGACUGGCAACUGCGGUCAGAGAGAACCCGAUUGGAUGGGCAUGGCUGGACAACCUGGCGGCGAGUGUGUGGGCAUGGAUUCUGUCGUGGUUUGACUGGAAGUGGCUAAUCAUGCUGGGAUUAGUAGCGCUUGCGAUAGUAGCGGCUAUAUGCUGUGGCCUCCCANNNNNNNNNNNNNNNNNNNNNNNNNNNNNNNNNN